CUGAGUUAGGGUCUGCCCUCGCGGCGCCCGACCUCCAACCCUUUGCCUUGAAAAACGCACCCUGAAUUCGUACGUUGCUUCGGCGGCUUCGCGGCCGCCGGCAGCACGCAAACCAAAACUCUUGUACUUUACCGUGUCUUGUCUGAGAAAAAACACAAACAAGUUA
rnacentral:misc_RNA from 1 species